GAUGAACGCUAGCGGCAGGCUUAAUACAUGCAAGUCGAACGGCAGCGGGUUUCGUUGAAAGACGAGAUGCCGGCGAGUGGCGCACGGGUGCGUAACACGUAUGCAACCUACCUUUAACCGGGACAUAACCACGAGAAAUCGCGGCUAAUAUCCCAUAAUAUUUUGAAGACACAUGUUUUUAGAAUUAAAGUAACAACGGUUUUAGAUGGGCAUGCGCGACAUUAGCUAGUUGGUGAGGUAACGGCUCACCAAGGCUACGAUGUCUAGGGGGUCUGAGAGGAUGAUCCCCCACACUGGUACUGAGACACGGACCAGACUCCUACGGGAGGCAGCAGUAGGGAAUAUUGGGCAAUGGGCGCAAGCCUGACCCAGCCAUGCCGCGUGCAGGAUGACAGCCCUACGGGUUGUAAACUGCUUUUAUACGGGAAAAAACCCCCGGACGUGUCCGGGGCUGAUGGUACCGUAGGAAUAAGCAUCGGCUAACUCCGUG
rnacentral:rRNA from 1 species